CGGGAAGGCAGGGGAAAGUGGGGACGGCUAAUGGGUACAAAAAUAUAGAAUUAAUAAGACCUAAUAUUUGCUAGCCAAAGAAAGUGACUAUAAUAAA